AGAGUUUGAUUCUGGCUCAGAACGAACGCUGGCAGCGUGGAUGAGGCAUGCAAGUCGAACGGGAUCCAAAGCGUAGCAAUACAAUUUGGUGAGAGUGGCGAAAGGGUGAGGAACGCGUGGGUAACCUACCCUGAAGUUGGGGAUAACCUGCCGAAAGGCGGGCUAAUACCGAAUGUGGUUGUCUUUCGCAUAGAAGACAGUCUGAAGGCGGGGAUUCUUCGGAACCUGUCGCUUCAGGAGGGGCCCGCGUCCCAUCAGCUUGUUGGUGAGGUAAUGGCUCACCAAGGCUUACGGGUAGCUGGUCUGAGAGGAUGGUCAGCCACACUGGGACUGAGACACUGCCCAGACUCCUACGGGAGGCUGCAGUCGAGGAUCAUUUGCAAUGGGCGAAAGCCUGACAAUGCGACGCUGCGUGGAGGAUGAAGGCCCUCGGGUCGUAAACUCCUGUCAUUCGGGAACAAUAGCGGAAGGGUUAAUACCCUUUUCGUGUGAUGGUACCGAAAGAGGAAGCCACGGCUAACUCUGUGCCAGCAGCCGCGGUAAUACAGAGGUGGCGAGCGUUGUUCGGAUUUACUGGGCGUAAAGGGUGCGUAGGUGGUUCUGUAUGUCGGAUGUGAAAUCCCACUGCUCAACGGUGGAACUGCAUUCGAAACUGCAGGGCUGGAGUGCAGGAGAGGAGAGCGGAAUUCUUGGUGUAGCGGUGAAAUGCGUUGAUAUCAAGAAGAACACCGGUGGCGAAGGCGGCUCUCUGGAAUGCUACUGACACUGAGGCACGAAAGCUGGGGGAGCAAACAGGAUUAGAUACCCUGGUAGUCCCAGCCCUAAACGGUGUACACUUGUUGUUGGUGGAUUCGACCCCAUCAGUGACGGAGCUAACGCGUUAAGUGUACCGCCUGGGGAGUACGGCCGCAAGGCUAAAACUCAAAGAAAUUGACGGGGGCCCGCACAAGCGGAGGAGCAUGUGGCUUAAUUCGAUGCAACGCGAAGAACCUUACCAGGGCUUGACAUGUAACUGCUCAUCCUGUGAAAGCAGGACUCUUUCGAAGGUGUUACACAGGUGCUGCAUGGCUGUCGUCAGUUCGUGCCGUGAGGUGUUUGGUUAGGUCCAGCAACGAACGCAACCCUUGUGCUUAGUUGCCACCCCCGAUGUUAAGUCGGGGAGCACUCUAGGCAGACUGCCCGUGUAAGCGGGAGGAAGGUGGGGAUGACGUCAAGUCAGUAUGGCCCUUACGCCCUGGGCUGCACACGUGCUACGAUGGGAGUUACAGAAGGACGCGAAAUCGCGAGGUGGAGCAAAUCCUGAAAAGCUUCCUCAGUUCAGAUUGGAGUCUGCAACUCGACUCCAUGAAGUCGGAUUCGCUAGUAACGGCGCAUCAGCUACGGCGCCGUGAAUACGUUCCCGGGCCUUGUACACACCGCCCGUCACAUCAUGAAAGCCGUCUGCACCCGAAGUCGCUGUUUCAACCCGCAAGGGAGAUAAGUGCCGAAGGUGUGGGUGGUGAUUGGGAUGAAGUCGUAACAAGGUA
rnacentral:rRNA from 1 species